rnacentral:lncRNA from 10 species
GCUGGGCGUAGUGGCCGGCGCCUGUAAUCCCAGAUACUCGGGAAGCUGAGGCAGGAGAAUCGUUUGAACCCGGAAGGCAGAGGUUGCGGUGAGCUGCCAUUGCGCCAUUGCACUCCAGCCUGGGCAACAAAAGCAAAACUCCAUCUCAAAAAACAAAACAAAACAAAACAAAGAAAAAGAAAACAGAAUUUUUUAGCAUGUAUCUCCCAAAUAUUUUUCACUGAAAUUCAAAUGUAACCGGGCAUCAAGUUCAAAUGUAACUGUAUUUUAUCUGGCAGCCCUGCUUUAAGGCAGUGUUUGGAGACAAGGCAUGAACAGUUCCUAGAGCAGUGUCUGGCACAUGUAAGCACACAAUAAAGUUUAUUUAGAUAAAAGGGUCACACUCCCUGCCCUCCCUCACAAUAUAUUAGUGUCUCUACUCAUCCGGCUGUAGGAUCUCAAAUGGCCAGCCCUCAGAAAGUCAUUCUGUCAUAAAAGGACAGUUUAAAUCUCGCCAUCCCACCGCAAUGUAGUGACCCCUUUCCACUAUCACAAACUACCAGAUUUCCCCUGCCUCCCAGCGCUUGGCAUAUUCAUGUGGGGAUUUUCAUGCUCUUCAUGUUGCUGCUUUCACUGGACAUAUGGGGGAGGGGCUGGGGGAGUCCGAGGCAUUAUGAUGUUGAAGCCAGUGACACUCUUUCUAGGGGAAAUUGUAGCUGGAGUCUGUCUCUUCUAGAACUAGGGGCAUGUAAUCCUCUGUGUGUGAGCCAGGAGGCAAUGGAGAUUCAGAGGGGAAGCCUAUGAUGUUUGUAUGAUGUUAGUAACAGGUUUUCCCCAUGGGGCGAAUGUAUAUUGAGUGGCAUUGGUCCCACUGACCUCAUUAAGACGUCUGCCAUAGAUGAGAUAAAACUUUGUUCAAUCUGAAAAGUCCAAAGGAAAAAAAGUUGAAGGGGAAAAUCUAGCUUUUUAAAUGUAAGUCUAUUUGACUCUAAAGUUUCUGUUCCAUCUCAUUCUCCCUUGAUUUCAGUGUGCCCCUCACUUCUCUCAUACUUAAUAGCACCCUGCAUUAAUACUGCAUUUUAAAAUUAUAAUGCAUUUUUAUUUCAUUAUCUCACUGUCUUUUUCUUUUCUUUUUUUUAGACAAAGUCUCACUGUCGCCCAGGCUGGAGUGCAGUGGGGCGAUCUCAGCUCACAGCAACCUCCGCCUCCAAGGUUCAAGUGAUUCUCCUGCCUUAGCCUCUCAAAUAGCUGGGAUUACAGGUUCUGUAAUCCAAGAUGUCUGUAAAGAGCUGGGAUAUCACUAGGAAAUCAUCUUCAUCCAGACUUAUUCCUGAGUGGAAGAACUUGAAGUUCCUCAUAAAUAAGAUCCUGAAGGACAUAAAGAAUGAUGAAGAACCAAAGAAUGAUGUGGUUCUACUGAGUGACUGGCCUGAGACUCUAUACCGGGAGUCUCACCAUCCACAGAACAAGCCUUUUGUCUGCUUCUACUACUCCAUCAAGGUCAACUGUUUUGUCUCCUUAAACUGGAUGGAACCCUGUGGAAAAAUGCAGGUAAAGCCACCUCGUUUUUCCCCCUCUCCUUCUUAAUUCAAUUUACAUGCAUCACACCUGAACUGCCCUCAUUUUAGAAUGAUGGUAGUGACUGUGAAUUAGCUCAUUUUAGUACCCAUCUCCAUAUCCCAGUUUGACUGGAUGCAGUGAUCCUUCUUCACCUCAUGUUAUCAGGCCCUCAGAAUUCAUAUUCUCCAUCAAGUAGACUGAAGGCCAAGAAAAGGGCCUUGAACAUGGUGCUUCUAUCACAUACCCAAUUCCUAGUAUAAUAGUCCCCACGAAUUCAUGGGGGAUACAUUCCAAGCCCCCAGUGGACAUCGGAAAUUGCAGAUAGUACCAAACCUGACUGCCAUCAAUUGGAACAUGUUUGUGUUCAUGUGGCUCACCUACAAAUUUUGUGCUUUUUCCCUCAUAACUAAGUGCUAUCAUGCACUAUGUCCAUAAUGCGUGCACUUGAGGUGCAACAGCAAAACUAGCAUGAAUUUGUCUUUCCUCCUUCACAAUUUCACAGAAGAUUCAUUCUUUUUUUUUUUUUUAUUUUUGAGACAGAGUCUCACUCUGCUGCCCAGGCUGGAGUGCAGU